GGUUUUGUUUAAAAAUUCUCUAAUUAAAAAAAAAAAAAUCUACAUUGUUUCCUAUUUUUGUCCCUUGUCUUGCUGAAACUACCUUUCUUCCAGCACUGUAAAAUGUUAUAGCAGUCCAAUGAGAGGAAAGGGGGAGGCAACUGUGAAGCCCCAUGAGGUUCCCUAAGGGCACCAUCCUGCAUCUGCAGAGGAUAAAGAGGAUUUUAGACAACUGUUGGACCUUUUCUCAGCUCCAGCCAGAGGUCCUGGUGAUGCAUUGCAGCACAACAACCUUUUCCAGCUCACCACAGGGCCCUGAUGGCAUCCAGGCUGCUGCAAUACCAGGGACCUGACCCUGGUCAUGCCCAUGUGUUACCAUCCGUCUCAUCCAGAGAUUUAAUUUUGGUAACUGCAGUGUGACUAGUGGAAGAUGGAGAGCUGGAAACCAGCCUGCUUCUAGGAUUCAUCCAGCCCAUGCCAAGGACAUAGCUUUUGGUCUGGUAGCCCUAAUGUGGGGAUAUAACACCCAGUGCCAACCUGCUGUCUUGCUGAGGGCAGAGCUUAUGACAUAGUCUGAGCAAGGAGAGCUGGGGACAAAUCCUGGGAGAACACCAGAAGAACAGUGGGAUGCUUUUCUUCCUGGUCAAGUGGACCAAGCCCUCAGCACACAAUGAACUUUCUGAAGACAGCAAGAAUUUUCUUACAGUUUGAGCAAAGCCCCAAUCCUACACCAUGGCAUUGCUGAUGUGGCACUCCCCACACCUUACUGCGAAAAAGCACGUGGAAGUAGCUCUGUGAUCCAGGCUCUGCUCAUGCAUGAUGCACAAACCAUUUUUUUGAGGAAGUGUUUAGAGAGUUUGAAAAGUUCUGGUUAGCUGCCUUUUUUAUAUUUUUUAAUUUAUUUUUUUACUGCCUCUUCUAUUUUUUGGGUGUGGCAUUUCUUUGUGGCUGCAGGAGCACACAGGCAAUGCCUCCACUUCUCCUAGUGCCUGGUCAGCCAAGAGCAACCGAAGAAAAUUCCUGUAUUAUUUUUGAGACAUUUUCCCAGCAUUUGAAAUGCAACUAUGCUGAAAGAGAGCACUUCAGUGACUUAACCAUUACUAGAGAGAGUCUGGUUGUGCAAAACUGGUGAUGAUUCUGAUGAUAAUGAUGAUAAAAGGCUGGUUCAGGGUUGAAUUUAAUGACCUGUGAUGUGCAAGCAAAAGGGCCUGGAGACUAGACCUGAGAGAGAUUUUCAGACAGCUGAAGGCAUCAGGAGGAUGCCCAGUGCUGGAAGGAUACCUGCAGGCAAAUGGGUUUCACUUCCUUUCAAGCCCAAGGUGAGGAAGACAAGGUUUUUUCUUCCUUUAUACUGAGGGAAAUAGGAUCUGCCCUUCCCAGGCAAAAACUGCUGGUGAUGAGUUGCCUUUUCCCCUUGCAGAGUGCCCUCCCCAGUGCCCAGAAUUGGCAGGACAUGACCAGUGAGAUGGCUGAGAGGGAGCACCCAGCUGCUCUGCCAAGAGGGUGAGCCUGGUGAAGGAAGCCUGGAGGGAGAGCCGAGACACUGUCAAGACACUGUGCUUUCCUCUGUGCUAAUUGUACGCUUGGGACCAAAUUUAGACUGGUGUAACUCUGCUGAAGUCACCAGGGAUUAAUUUGGCCUCUGGUGGCUCCAUUGUUUUAGCUAAAUGAGUCAGAAGAAGCAGCCUAUUCUUAUCUGCGCACAGUGGGGCAGUGGCAGUAAUGGCUCAGAGAGGCAGACCCCAAAAGCAGCACGACUGGGACCUGGGAUCGGGGCUUCCAUGAGACAAAUGGGGCUGCAAGAGGAAAUGUUUUGACAUUUGGGUUAUAGAUGGAGGCCGGCUCAGCGUGGGUGCGAGUGGUGCUCACCGCUGCUGCAGGCGGAGGGGAAGGGGGCUGGCAGGUUCCCUGAAUAUUCGGUGGUGCCGUUUGGAGUUCCUCAAUUCUUCGGCCAUCGGAGAGGGAAGCUGUGGCUCUGGAAGGGGCACGUGGUGUCAAAGGGGACUUCACACCACUUCCCGGCCUGGUGAGAAAGGGAGCCCAGGCUGGAAACGUUCAAAAAGCACCGGCUGCAUCCCUGGCUGCUCGUGCUUCUGCCAGCGGCUGGCUGUGGGGAAGGAGUGAUGGGACAGAGCACAGGCUUGCACAGGGCUGGAGUAGAUGUUUUGUGUGAAAGUUUUGACUGCUAGCCCAAGGUAGUGUGUUGGUUUAGCAUGUUAUGAAUGCUCUCAAACUUCUGGGAAACUGAAGAUGAUUUGGAAAACCGCAAUUUUUCCAGCCCAGGUCAGUACAAGCUGUUUCCAAGCAGAGAGGUGUUUGCUGGAGAGCCUGCAGGAGCUGUGUGCCUCGCCCAGCCAGCAUCCAGCCUUGUGGCAGGCAAUUCUGGAGGGGAAAUGAAGCAGGCAAUGGAGACGAAAGUGUUGUUCCCCUUCCCAUGCCUGUUGCUGGACCCCAUCUCCCCUUUUCCUGCUGUACCCACUAGACAGAUGAGCACAAGACUUUAGUCUCCAAAGCUGUCAACCUGGCACAUUCUGCCAUGGCCAAACACUCUUUAAAGCAAAUACAAAGGCAGAUCUUCUUCUGAGGAUGGAGAUAACAAUAGGUAGGAAGGGCAGGGAAGAGCAGACCUGGAGCCUCACUGCUCCCAGCGCUCCUGUACCUCCACAGAUUGAGCGGGCACAUUCCCAGCGUCCGGAGCCGGAUAAUAAGCAGAGGCACAACAGCUAUUCAGGAGGCUCUGACCCUGGCUAGAUUUAUGGCCAGGAUACGCCGCUGCAGCAGAAGCCGUACAGGCACCGUGUGGAGACUGUCUGACUGUCGUCUCAGAAAGGUUUGCUUGUGGGUUUUUUAAGCAAGUCUGCAUGGAAAUGUGUCACCAAUAAUAAGGUGUUUCCAAAAGGUCUAGGUAGAGGAUGAUGAAGAUGUCACACAAUAAUGAAUAAUUAGGUAAAACCAUUUGUGGUGUGAUUUCUUUCUAAAUGGUUUUAUUUCCUUUCUUACAAAAAGCCAACC